rnacentral:rRNA from 1 species
UACACUCCUACGGGAGGCAGCAGUGGGGAAUUUUGGACAAUGGGCGAAAGCCUGAUCCAGCAAUGCCGCGUGUGUGAAGAAGGCCUUCGGGUUGUAAAGCACUUUUGUCCGGAAAGAAAUCCUUGGCUCUAAUACAGUCGGGGGAUGACGGUACCGGAAGAAUAAGCACCGGCUAACUACGUGCCAGCAGCCGCGGUAAUACGUAGGGUGCGAGCGUUAAUCGGAAUUACUGGGCGUAAAGCGUGCGCAGGCGGUUUGCUAAGACCGAUGUGAAAUCCCCGGGCUCAACCUGGGAACUGCAUUGGUGACUGGCAGGCUAGAGUAUGGCAGAGGGGGGUAGAAUUCCACGUGUAGCAGUGAAAUGCGUAGAGAUGUGGAGGAAUACCGAUGGCGAAGGCAGCCCCCUGGGCCAAUACUGACGCUCAUGCACGAAAGCGUGGGGAGCAAACAGGAUUAGAAACCCUAGUAGUCCCAUGA